UAGGGAAUCUUCGGCAAUGGACGAAAGUCUGACCGAGCAACGCCGCGUGAGUGAAGAAGGUUUUCGGAUCGUAAAACUCUGUUGUUCGAGAAGAACAAGGACGUUAGUAACUGAACGUCCCCUGACGGUAUCUAACCAGAAAGCCACGGCUAACUACGUGCCAGCAGCCGCGGUAAUACGUAGGUGGCAAGCGUUGUCCGGAUUUAUUGGGCGUAAAGCGAGCGCAGGCGGUUUCUUAAGUCUGAUGUGAAAGCCCCCGGCUCAACCGGGGAGGGUCAGUGGAAACUGGGAGACUUGAGUGCAGAAGAGGAGAGUGGAAUUCCAUGUGUAGCGGUGAAAUGCAUAGAUAUAUGGAGGAACACAAGUGGCGAAGGCGGCUCUCUGGUCUGUAACUGACGCUGAGGCUCGAAAGCGUGGGGAGCAAACAGG
rnacentral:rRNA from 1 species